UUGUAAUGAUAUAUCAUAUUCUAGACUUGACAUACAAUAAACAAUGAUAAGAAUUAUUGUCGCAUAUCUGCAGUGAUUUUCUUUGAUCUUUCUGUGGUGAUAAUUUAUCCCAUAUCACAUGUGUGAUAAUACUUUCCAAACAUGUUUCAAAGUUUUUACACUCUUUAUCAUACAGUUUUAAAGAACAGUUUUAUGAGCUCAUAAGUAUAUUAAAUGGUUAAUUUAUCAAAACCUGCAUUUAAAAAUUCAGAAGUCUUAAGUUAAACCAAAUUGUCCAGGGUAUUCUUAGUAAGGUAUGUCAAAGGUCAUGGUUAAGUGACUUUGUAAGGCUGGUAUUUUUUCUUUAGUUUUAUGGCAAUCAGUGCACAUGGUAAAUAGCAUAAAAUUACCCUUAGAGGUCUUAUGCAAGGAGAUAGCUAAUUAAAAUGAACAAAUGUAGUUCUAUGUAUGAUGUAUAUAGAGACAAUAAUAUUUCUUUUCUUUUUUCAUUUUCAGGAACUUUACGUAGGUCUACAGUUUUAAUUUUGGACUCAUGCACUAGGAAUAUCAUAUCAGCAGAAUUGUGCCACUGAAUCAAAGGGAACUCUUUUUUUUUAGGUACGCAUGAUCGAUGUAACUUCCUCGAUGGUGUGUUGGCUGUUUGCCCAUGUGUAUUUCGGGGUAUAGGUAUUAGCCUCCCCUUUUAAAGAUCCAAAAUGGUGAUUUUACAGUGCGGCAUGCAGUCUGGUCAUCAACGAAGAGUUUUGACACCUGUAAUACCCAUAUUUCUACCAUUCACCUCUGUAACCUUUGUUGAGUUCAUCAGACUGUCCAAGACAGGAAGUUGAGGAAUAAAGUUGACAGGACAUCCUGAACUGUCCUCGCUACCAGCUUAUGAGGGAACCAGCUGCAGUGGACAAUGUACGUUACAUCAUAGGAUAAUAGCAUUGAAUUGGAUUCUUGAACCAGAGCCAUGUGAACCUGGUCCACCUGUACCUCUCAUUGAAGACCUGUUAACAUCACGGUAUGGUUACAGCAUGCAUUAUCCCUGAAUCCAUUAAAAGAGCUGCAUUGGCAACGAAACAACCCAAUGUGGUCGAUUGUAAGGAAAUAAAGCAUAUCAGCUUCCAACUUUGGUGCAGUUCUCAGUUCUAAGCAAAGGCGGUAAGACGUGUGAUUAAAUUUUUGCGAAAAAGACUUUUAAAAUUACAGUCAAACUUUGUUAUCUCAAACCCAUUAUCUCAUAUUUCAUGGAUAUGUCAAAGUAAUUUUGAAGUCCAAACCAUUUAUAAAAGACUGGGACAUUUUAUUCUUGAUAACUCUUUAUGUAUUAUUCUUGAAUCCACGGAUAUUUCCAACAUUUUUCUUGGUCUCAUUGAGUUUGAGAUAAUGAGGUUCGACUGUAAUGACUAGAUAUUUGUACAUAAAGAUGCAGGAAAUAUAAGAUUAAUAACCAAAA